CUUCCCCCUUCUCUCCCUCUCUGUUUCUGAGAAACCCUAAACCUAGCCGCCAUCACUCUUCCACCGUCGCACUCUUCUCACCCCACCCCACCCCUCCCUUCCCCUUUCUCUCCGUCUCUGAGAAACCCUAAACCCAGCCACCAUCACUAUCCACCGUCGCGCUCUUCUCAUCGUUCUUCUCCUCGUCGCGUCAGUUGGUCGUCGUCUCUUCGGAUCGUUACUCUUCUUGUCGCCGUCGGCCGGUCAUCGUCUCUUCGGCGAUCUCUCUCUGUCGCUCUCUUCAAAGUCAACAACACCUAUUAUCGUCACCUCUCCUCGACGUCGAGUCUGAACUGUUGGCAUCGCCGCCGCGAAGGACUGCUCCGUCGUCAUCGCCGCCUCAUUCUCGUCAUCGAAACGCCUCUGUCUCCGAGCCAUCUCUCUCUCUCUGUGUGUGUUGAGCACCACUCUCAGUGCGUAGUGCGAACGUACCCUUGCCGCCGUGGACUUUGCCGUCGCCAUGGCCGAUCCGUCACUCACUAAAAAAUUCAAGAUCUCAUUGCCGUCACUUUCUUUCUCCGUCGCUGCCGGCUGAAAUUCAAGGAGCAUAUGCAGUACUGGAGUAGAUAAGCAAGCUUGCCAAGGUUCAGAAAAAGGUCUCUGAAGUUAAGAGUGUCAUGAUUUAGAAUAUUGAAAAGGCUGUAGAAACGUGAGAACUUUGUUUCAAUUAGAUAUGCAGUUUUAUUUUUCCCAUAGUAUCUAUUGAUUUGCCAGAUUUGGUUUUGAAACUUUAAUCAAAAUAAAACAGGAAACUUUAGUUUUGUAUGUAGCUUAGCCAACUAAUUUAGAAAAAAGGAAGCCUUUGGAGGAACAGGGCCAGGUGGAGCAAGAAAUAUUGCAAUUAGUUGUUGAUGGUUAGUUUCUGAAUUGCUGCUUUUUGUUCGAGUUAAUUUUGUUCGAGUUAGUAUAAUACUAUUGUUUGAGACUA